rnacentral:rRNA from 1 species
CCUACGGGGAGCAGCAGUAGGGAAUCUUUCACAAUGGGCGAAAGCCUGAUGGAGCAACGCCGCGUGCAGGAUGAAGGCCUUCGGGUUGUAAACUGCUUUUAUAAGCGAGAAAUAUGAUGGUAACUUAUGAAUAAGGCUCGGCUAACUACGUGCCAGCCGCCGCGGUCAUACGUAGGAUCCGAGCAUUAUCCGGAGUGACUGGGUGUAAAGAGUUGCGUAGGUGGCAUAAUAAGUAGCUAGUGAAAUCUGGUGGCUCAACCAUUCAGACUAUUAGCUAAACUGUUAAGCUCGAGACCGUUAGGGGUAACUGGAAUUUCUAGUGUAGGAGUGAAAUCCGUAGAUAUUAGAAGGAACACCAAUAGCGUAGGCAGGUUGCUGGGACGGUUCUGACACUAAGGCACGAAAGCGUAGGGAGCAAACGGGAUUAGAUACCCUUGUAGUC